rnacentral:rRNA from 1 species
GUGGGGAAUAUUGGACAAUGGGCGCAAGCCUGAUCCAGCCAUGCCGCGUGAGUGAUGAAGGCCCUAGGGUUGUAAAGCUCUUUCGCCAGGGACGAUAAUGACGGUACCUGGAUAAGAAGCCCCGGCUAACUUCGUGCCAGCAGCCGCGGUAAUACGAAGGGGGCUAGCGUUGUUCGGAAUCACUGGGCGUAAAGCGCACGUAGGCGGAUCUUUAAGUCAGGGGUGAAAUCCCGAGGCUCAACCUCGGAACUGCCUUUGAUACUGGGGAUCUCGAGUCCGGGAGAGGUGAGUGGAACUGCGAGUGUAGAGGUGAAAUUCGUAGAUAUUCGCAAGAACACCAGUGGCGAAGGCGGCUCACUGGCCAGGUACUGACGCUGAGGUGCGAAAGCGUGGGGAGCAAACAGGAUUAGAAACCCCAGUAGUCC